GGGCGUAUAGCUCAGUUGGUUAGAGCGCACGGUUCACAUCCGUGAGGUCCAUGGUUCGAGCCCAUGUACGCCCA
rnacentral:tRNA from 1 species